rnacentral:rRNA from 1 species
GGUUAAGCGACUAAGCGUACACGGUGGAUGCCCUGGCAGUCAGAGGCGAUGAAGGACGUGCUAAUCUGCGAAAAGCGCCGGCGAGGUGAUAUGAACCCUUGACCCGGCGAUGUCCGAAUGGGGAAACCCAGUGCAAUCCGUUGCACUAUCGUUAACUGAAUACAUAGGUUAACGAGGCGAACCGGGGGAACUGAAACAUCU